rnacentral:rRNA from 1 species
UACGUAGGGUGCAGGCGUUAAUCGGAAUUACUGGGCGUAAAGCGUGCGCAGGCGGUUUGCUAAGACAGGUGUGAAAUCCCCGGGCUUAACCUGGGAACUGCGCUUGUAACUGGCAAGCUAGAGUGUGGCAGAGGGGGGUGGAAGUUCCACGUGUGAGCAGUGAAAUGCGUAGAGAUGUGGAGGAACACCGAUGGCGAAGGCACUUUAACUGGGCUAUUACGUAACACUCAGAGACGAAAGCUAGGGUAGCCAAAUGGGGAUUAAGAAACCCCGGAUAGACCC